rnacentral:piRNA from 1 species
AAUGGUUGGAGAGGAAAGGGCCAGC